UACGGAGGGGGCUAGCGUUGUUCGGAAUUACUGGGCGUAAAGCGCAUGUAGGCGGCUUUGCAAGUUAGAGGUGAAAGCCCGGAGCUCAACUCCGGAAUUGCCUUUAAAACUGCAUCGCUAGAAUUGUGGAGAGGUAAGUGGAAUUCCGAGUGUAGAGGUGAAAUUCGUAGAUAUUCGGAAGAACACCAGUGGCGAAGGCGACUUACUGGACACAUAUUGACGCUGAGGUGCGAAAGCGUGGGGAGCAAACAGG
rnacentral:rRNA from 1 species